GGGGCUGCGUGUCCCGACCCCGAGGGCUGCGUGUCCCGUCAGGCCCCGCAGCGGGCCCGGCCGCGGCCCGAACCGGAGCGCGGUCGGGAGAGGCGCUCACGGGAGGCGGGAGCGGCGGGGAUCGGGGCUCACGUCACUUGGGCGGCCGAGAUCGGUGCGGAUCGGGCUGGGCGGUGACUCGGGAGCUCUGCGGUCAGGCACUGGCUUGGGCAAUGGCGUGGCGAGGCUGUGGGGCACAGCCAGGGCUUUAACAGGCCUGGGAAAGCGGGGAACGACUGACGAGCUACAGCGAUAGCGGAAUAGCGCUGAGGCGUUGUUCGUGCCUCUGGGAACACGGGCCGUGGAGCUGCGGGAAGGACGCACCAGAGGCAUCCAGAGGAAAGUUACACUCUGGCAGUGUUGUCUCCAAAGGCUUCUGAAUGGCUCCGGUUAAAAUCAGCUGUGUGGUGUCUUUCUCCACCCAGGGAACUACAGCUGUGCCUUUCUGCAGUCUGAGGUGGGAUGCUCCUCAUGGCCCUGCGACCAGCCCUGUCACACCUCGGUGCCCACUGAUGACACCAGCUGACUCAAAGCUGGACCAGAAUCACUGCAGGGUUCAGAGGUUUUAGGAAGGUAAGGAUUGAUCCAAAGGAAAAAGGCAUGGGGAAGAGCUGUGGGCCUGGUCAUGGCAUGGAGCUGAUAUGGAGGGAUGGUGAUGGAAUGGGGCUGGCAGUAGGAUGUGGC